AGUGAACGCUGGCGGCAGGCCUAACACAUGCAAGUCGAGCGGCAGCGGGUUCCCGCGAGGGGAUGCCGGCGAGCGGCGGACGGGUGAGGAACACAUCGGAAUCUGCCUGGUUGUGGGGGAUAACGUAGGGAACUUACGCUAAUACCGCAUGAGACCCUGAGUCGACGGACUGGGGGUGAAAGUGAGGGACCUUCGGGCCUCACGCGACCAGAUGAGCCGAUGUCGGAUUAGCUAGUUGGCGGGGUAACGGCCCGCCAAGGCGACGAUCCGUAGCUGGUCUGAGAGGAUGAUCAGCCACACUGGGACU
rnacentral:rRNA from 1 species